GAUUGGGCCGAGCCUAUGCCCUGGCUUUUGCAGAAAGAGGUGCAUCAGUUGUUGGACUUCCCUGGUGGUGCAGAGGUUAAGAAUCCACCUGCCAAUGCAGGGGUUACAGGUUCGAGCCCUGGUCCGGGAAGAUCCCACAUGCCGCGGAGCGACUGAGCCCGUGCGCCACAACUACUGAGCCUAUGCUCUAGAGCCCACGAGCCACAACUACUGAGCCCGUGUGCCGCAACUACUGAAGCCCACUUGCCUAGAGUCCGUGCUCCGCAACAAGAGAAGCCACUGCAAUGAGAAGCCCACACACCUCAACAAAGAGUAGCCCCCGCUCGCCGCAACUAGAGGAAGCCCACGCAUAGGAAGGAAGACCCAACACAGCCAAAAAUAAAAAUAAAUAAAUAAAAUAAA